rnacentral:rRNA from 1 species
UAAUACGUAGGUGGCAAGCGUUGUCCGGAAUUAUUGGGCGUAAAGCGCGCGCAGGCGGUUUCUUAAGUCUGAUGUGAAAGCCCCCGGCUCAACCGGGGAGGGUCAUUGGAAACUGGGAGACUUGAGUACAGAAGAGGAGAGUGGAAUUCCACGUGUAGCGGUGAAAUGCGUAGAUAUGUGGAGGAACACCAGUGGCGAAGGCGACUCUCUGGUCUGUAACUGACGCUGAGGCGCGAAAGCGUGGGGAGCAAACAG